UACGGGGGGGGCAAGCGUUGUUCGGAAUUACUGGGCGUAAAGGGCGCGUAGGCGGCACUGUUAGUCAGGCGUGAAAGUCCUGGGCUCAACCUGGGAACUGCGCUUGAUACGGCAGAGCUAGAGGAUGGAAGAGGCUCGCGGAAUUCCCAGUGUAGGGGUGAAAUUCGUAGAUAUUGGGAAGAACACCGGUGGCGAAGGCGGCGAGCUGGUCCAUUACUGACGCUGAGGCGCGACAGCGUGGGGAGCAAACAGG
rnacentral:rRNA from 1 species